rnacentral:rRNA from 1 species
UACGUAGGUGGCUAGCGUUGUCCGGAUUUACUGGGCGUAAAGAGCGCGCAGGCGGUCGUUCAAGUCGAGUGUGAAAGCCCCCGGCUCAACUGGGGAGGGUCACUCGAUACUGAUCGACUCGAAGGCAGGAGAGGGAAGCGGAAUUCCCGGUGUAGUGGUGAAAUGCGUAGAUAUCGGGAGGAACAUCUGUGGCGAAGGCGGCCAUCUGGACCAGCACUGACACUGAGGCACGAAAGCGUGGGGAGCAAACAGG